CCCUUAGAUGUUCUGGGCCGCACGCGCGCUACACCGAUGCAUUCAACGAGUCUAAAACCUGCUCUGAUAGGGGUGGGUAAUCUUUUGAAUGUGCAUCGUGAUUGGGAUAGAUGAUUGCAAUUUUUCAUCUUCAACGAGGAAUGCCUAGUAAACGCAAGUCAUCAGCUUGCAUUGAUUACGUCCCUGCCCUUUGUACACACCGCCCGUCGCUCCUACCGAUUGAAUGAUCCGAUGAAUAUCAUGGAUUGAGGAUGCAAGUAGGUUCGCCUAUCUUCAUCUUCGAGAAGUGAAGUAAAUCUUAUCAUUUAGAGGAAGGAGAAGUCGUAACA
rnacentral:rRNA from 1 species